AUAAGUGCUGAAAGCAUCUAAGCAUGAAGCCCCCCUCAAGAUGAGAUUUCCCAUUCCGCAAGGAAGUAAGAUCCCUGAAAGAUGAUCAGGUUGAUAGGUCUGAGGUGGAAGCGUGGUGACACGUGGAGCUGACAGAUACUAAUAGAUCGAGGACUUAACCAU
rnacentral:rRNA from 1 species